GUUUGAGAGUCUUGUUUGUUUAUUAUUACUAGUGAUUGUUAAACCGAAAAUAAGAUAAUAGAGGAUUCAACGGUUGACUGAAUUGAAUGAAUUAAGAACUGAUAUUUAUAUAUGUAUACAUAAGUCUGUUAUAAGAUUGCGUGGCACAAAGAUUUUGUGCUAACGGCGCAUUGUGUGGAGAUUGCGGGACAUAGAGACGUUUGUGUUAGCGGCGCAUUGUAUGGGGAUUGCGGGGUACAAAGACGUUUGUACUAGUGGCGCAUAGGUGAUUGCGGGGUACAAGGAUGGACUCUUGUACUAGUGGUGCAUAGAGUUAUAUAUUUACAUCCGUAUAAGGAGAAUGUGGGGUGUGUGAUCUAGUUAUGCACUAUCAGCGCAUUUGAUGUUUUAUGUGGUGUAUUAGACACCGUGUUUGUUUCAUGCUAGAGCUAGGCCUACAUAGUUGUAGUGCUAUGUACUGAGUCAGUGGUUUGUGGUUUAGCAUCUCAUACCUCACGGAGUAACUCCCCUGUUACUCACCCCUC
rnacentral:lncRNA from 1 species